UAAGGGCGCACGGUGGAUGCCUUGGCACUAGAAGCCGAUGAAGGACGUUACUAACGACGAUAUGCUUUGGGGAGCUGUAAGUAAGCUUUGAUCCAGAGAUUUCCGAAUGGGGAAACCCAGCAUGAGUUAUGUCAUGUUAUCGAUAUGUGAAUACAUAGCAUAUCAGAAGGCACACCCGGAGAACUGAAACAUCUUAGUACCCGGAGGAAGAGAAAGAAAAUUCGAUUCCCUUAGUAGCGGCGAGCGAAACGGGAAGAGCCCAAACCAACAAGCUU
rnacentral:rRNA from 1 species